UGCCUCUGAACUUCUUGCACUUCAAUGUGUUUUUAUGCUUUUCGUGCAGGCGCGGAUACUUUCAAACAGAACCCCCGUUUGACGGUGCUACGAAUCUGUUUACUCGCGUGUCUUUCUCCCGUAAACGCAUAACCUGUAUGCGGAGCACAGUAUCCUCGCUACGAGGUACUCAGGAAAAAAAACGUCUCCAAGGCGCACCCUUACAGUCCCUUCAUAGUGGUCACAGAAGCCGACGCGCGCACCCGCGCACUCGCAAGUGGAUACAACGCAAACACGUCUUUCUGUGGGGCCGGCAGUUCGGUGAUACCAACAGGUCUACUGUUAUUCACACAACAACUCUCGCUCUCGGACUAUCUAUAUAUAUAUAUGCAUAGAGCAGUAGUCGUACACUCACAUCCGUGAAAACAUUUUUCGUUGGUGUGUUUGCUGUAAGGCUCUUUUGUGUGUAACCCUUCUUCCUCCGUUUCUCGGUGGGCUUGUGUGCAUCUUCGCUAUCUCUGGGUGUUUCUGUGCGCUAAGACCCGCGGUGCUCACUUGCCUUCUCUGACUUUGUCGUUGUGGAGAAACUGCAUCGUCCUGAUCUGUCUUGUAGGCGCUAAUCAUUGGGCUAGUGCCAUUCCUCUCUGUUCUCCUCUUUUGCUUCGGCAAUCUCUGCAGUUGCUCGUGGAUUUCUAGAGACACCUGUGUAUCCACUUCUGCAAUACCUGACUGACUUCUUUGUUUUGGUGUCUGUUAACUGGGUGUGGCGCCUUCGCGUCUCCUUCGUGUGUGUGUGUGCUUGUCUCUUUCUCUCUCCGUGUACGUGCUACAGACCCUCAAAAACAGAGUCUCUGCACACGCGAACGCGCAUACUCACCGCGAGCAGGUUUCUUCGUUGGCCUUUUCGGCGUUCAUUAUUAUUAGUAUUAUUUUUUUUUUGUUUGUGCGGCUUUACAGGUCUCUCUUUCCUUUGCGUGCUUUUUUCUCUUUACAAGGGAAGGGCAUCUUCUCAGGCGUCUGUACACGAGCAGGAGCAGCAGCAGCAGCCAAGGACCUGUCUCACUCUCUUCUCUUCUCACUUGAAGUGUCACCUUCUGGCACUCGCGGGAGAGCAAAGGAAUCGAUUAUUGUCAGGCAGCGCCUCUAUCCUUUCCUUACCCACCUCCUCCGCCUCCUGCUGCUUUUCGAUCUGGGGCGACUCCAGCUCAUCAUUUGCCUGUUUUUUUUUCGUUCGUCUUUUUUUUUCUGGUUCUUCUCGUUCCGCUUUUCUCCUUUUAAUUUUUUUUGCUUUGCUUUGGUUAUCUCAGGUUCUUCCUUCACGUGUGUGCGCCGCUCUUCUCGUUUUCUGUGUUGUCCCUCCCGCCGUGUCGCAAGCGCAGCGGACGUGCGUCUCUUGUUUGUUUUGACCUUUUUUUUGUCUUGCGUUCAAAGGCCUUUCAAGAACAGCGCACACGAUGAGCUCCAUGCACAGCCCUGCUCACGACUCCUGCACGAGCUUGUCAACCGGAGAUGACAGCCACCACUACCAGCGGCAGCAGCGGGAGGACGAUGAGGAGAGGUGGGACAUCACGGUUUCUUUUUCUUGCGGAGGAUGGUUCCAGAUGUACUUCUUUGGAGCAGCCUAUGCCCUCGUCGACUCUGGCGUGCUGCAGCGCUGGUACUGCGAGGGCAAGCGCGUGCGCUUUACCGGUGUGAGUGCUGGCGCCCUGGCAGCCACGUGCCUUGCCUCUGGGCAGUACGACAUUCUAUCAGUGAAGCAGUUUGCGUCGGCCGCCGCCGAAGACUAUCGGAGCUCUGUAUUUCAUUGUUUUCGCGUAGGGAAGUACCUGACGGCUGCCAUCGACAACUUUGGCACCAACUUGCGCGCCGUUGACACCGACCCCCGCAUGCGUCAAGUGCUGAUGAGCGGAUCGCUUGAGGUCGGCGUGACGGUGCUGCCCAAGUUGAAGUCGAGACUGAUUAGUAGUUUCUCUAGCUACGCCGCCAUCCGAGAGACGCUCCUUGCGUCAUGCUGCCUGAUGCCGCUGGUCGGUAUGCCGUUCAAGAUGGAGAGCACUGGUGAAUGGUGCGCCGACGGCGGCAUUAGCAACUUCACGCCACGCAUAGAGGAGGAGAACACCAUCUCCGUUUCAGGCAUGUACUUCCAGGAUGCCUCGGUGCGGCCACGCGUGUUUGUGCCGUCAUGGUGGGCGCUGCAUCCGCCGAACGCGCAGAAGUACAACAACCUUUUCUGGAUGGGAUACAACGACAUGAUCGACUACCUUGUCUCCGUCGGGCACCUCAGCGUGGCCGAUGGCAACCGCCUACUCAAACAGGAGGUCGAUUUCCGCAUACAUGACUCCUACCUGGAGGUCGCCUUCACCUUUUUCAUGGAGCUCAUGAUGUUGAUGUACAUCAGACCUGUUGUCAUCAUCUUUGUGUACGUUGAGCUCGCCAUCUCGAUGAUUUGGUGGGCGGCCAAAGGCAUCCUCACGUGGGACGGCGCCUCAUUUCGUAACCUCUACGACGGCUUCCGAAACACCAUCUCGCUCCGCACGUUGGGGCGUCUCAUCUUUGGCUCCAAGAUAUCAAGCAACGAAGAGCGGUUAUCUCGACAGAGUCGAGUGUUUCGCGUGUUCCAGCCUGUGGUGCUAGGCGGCAGCAAGAAGACCGGCCGUAAGUGCUGGGGCUCGAGUAGUGCGGUGCUGCUUGAACGCGUGCCCACGCUCUCACCCAACGCGCGCCGCGCUGCUCCCACAUCUCUCAGCAAGUAAGGAAAAGGUAGAAGAGCAGAGGCAGCACACGUAGGCAAAUCCGAAAAGGUGUCCCUCUCACUCACCUCCCCGUUGGGCUAUCGGCCGUUUUUUGAAGACGAGACUAGUCAUGUAGCCGCAAUAAGACGCGAGAGAGGGGGUGAGCUGGCUUUGCGCGAGGCAAGACCUCGUCGGGCCAGCUUCUUUUGCGAACUCUGAGCGAAAAGAACCACACGAUGUGCUCUCUUCGUCUUUCGUGUGCUUUUUAGAUGACGAGAGAAAAGAAGAAACGGAGGGAAGGCUAUGUGUGUGUGAGCGCAUGCGUGCGGCAGGGGCGGGUGCAGGAACUCCGUGGCGCGUUGUGAAGACGUUGAACUGGCCAUCUGUAAGGGCUGCCGAUAUGUUUUUCUCCUCCCAAGGAAGCGCACAGUGCUAACCCCCUUUUGGUUGUUCUUCCGUUCGCUUGUAUAGCGCACAGCUGAUCGUCUUUCGCUUUUAAAACGUUUCUGACAUUCCGUCUUUUUACAGCCACCUGAUGUCGAACUUUUCGCACCUUAACGGCUGCUGACUGUACUGCAGUCCUCACUUCGACUAAUACCGUUUCUGCUGCUCUCUCUCUCGCUCAGUACCGUUCUAGUCUCUCGGUUAUCGUGCCGGAACGCCGAAAGCAGCCAUUUUUCUCGUUGUUGGGCUCGUCUUCACCUGUUUCCUCUGUUGUCGCCUUUCAUCUUUGAUGCCGAUGAGCGGGGAAGGGGGACACACCGCACAGUGCCUGGUGUCUCAGCGUCCAGUGCGCCCACGCCAACGCUGUGUGUGUGUGUGGGGAGGAGCCCAUCAGCACCCCUCCCCUCUCCUAUCCGCUGUCAGUGCGGAGCCGCUUCUCGCCCUGGCCCUGUCAGGGGGAUGCAUCGCUACGGAUGCCGGCGGUGUGGGCCUGGAUCGGCGCAGGCGCUGGAGCGACCUGCGGCGGUGCGCGCGUUUAUAUCAUCGAUAUGGUAGGCACAAGUGCCAACGUGACUCGAGCGUGUCUCACCGGGCCGUGCCCACCUACUAGGGGGGGAGGGACCCUGAGGCGCCUCGAGUGGGGAUGCGGGAGGUGGCAGCCGGCAUGAUGCGGGUGCGGCUGUGAGGCGACCUGCGCAGCGGGUGCUGGGUAGAGUGUGAGGCAGGGGCCGCACUCACACGGCGGAGUCGGUGCAUUGCCCUAACGCGUGCCUGGUAGCGCGUGGCACAGAGAGAUGGACCUGUGACGGGCCUGGCAGAGUGGGGUUGUGACCUGCUGUUGUACUUCAGAGAAUGAACAAGCUCACAAAUAGAAGUGAUCUUUUCCUAAGGUCGUCUUUCUUUGCGUUCUGUGGGUAUUCUACUUGGCGGAUGAUGAGGUUGCCGCAGAUGUGUUGCGCCUUUUUGUGUCUGUGUGUGUGUCCAUGUUUUUUUUUCCCAACUCCUGUUUUGUGUUUGGGUUUUGUUUAUCUUGCCUGUUUCGUCUCUGUGCGCGGAGUGCGGUCGUCGUGGAUGCGUCGUGGUCAAUGCGCGUCCUUCUUGCGUUUCCCCCUCUUUCUUCUUGGGGACUCAUCUGUUUUCAUCCGCCACCCAGCGCCUCGUAAGUGUCUUUGCGUUCCUGUGCUCGCGGGUGCCUUUUUUCGACUUGCUCUUCUUUGUUGUUAAGUUUCACGCGUGCUACUCCUUCGUUUUGGGGUGCUGUGGGGCUUCUUUUUUUUUGUCAGCGCUAGUCUUCUCAGUACGCUCUACAUCCGUGGCUCACCCUUCAUUUGCCUCCAUGUUCAUGAACUCUCUUACCUCCCGACCGGUGUGUGAUUGCUGGUAUCGACACGAGGUGAGGACUCGCUAUGUCCGCGUUGUCCUGUCUUAUAACCCAGAGGGGCAUCUUCCUCUUGAUUAUGCUCUUCAUUCUCCUUUUGUGGCUAAAGUUUCCCUUUUUUGUUUUUUUUUUGCGGUUGUGUUUUUGCUGUUGUUGCUAUUGUUGUUCCUCCUUUGCUUCGCGGCACGUAGCUCCACACGUUGGCCGCUACCGGAACUUCUCCCAUAAGUAUCUAAAUUUUUCUUUUUUUUUUUCAUUGUGUGCGUGUGCGUCUUCGAUUGGACCCGUGAUCAAGGCCUCUUCUCCCUUUUUUUCUGCUUUCGCCCUGUUGUGGCUCCACUCUUGCCCUUCUCGUGUUUGCAUGUGCGUUGUUUGUCCAAAGCUGCCCAUACGUAUGAUUGUGCACGCACUCCUCCUCCUAUGAUGUACGCGCCGUCAGUGUGCGUUGUAGCGCAUUAUCCUCAUGGCGCGUGCACAUCUAUAUAUAUAUAUAUGUGUGUGUGUGUGUGAUUGUAUAAGAAUUAACUGCACGUGUUCUCCUCCUUUUUUAGUGUCAAAGCCGCCUUCGCGGUGAGGAUGGGGGGCCACGUCCUUCGCUGCGGUACACAUGUGACUCCUCUUAUGCUAUUUUCCGUCAGUACUUUCAUAACUGCCCUUGCUGCAGGAGACAAACGUGCGCAGCGGCUGCGGCAGGUACCUGGAAGCGGCUAGGACAGGCAAUGUGAGGGCACAAACUUGACGAAGUACAAUGAAUGCGCACGAUCACCGUAGAAGCCCUCCCCUCCACUCUCCUUUCCAAUAUGUCGUGCAAGAUACAUCGGAUAGAAAUGUGUGUGUUGGUAUAAGGAUGCCUCACAUUUUCGUUUUUCUUCGUGUCUUCCCCUACUUUCUCUACGUGUGUACCCUUCAAACGUUCCUCUUUUUCUCGCCAUCCUAGACAAAAAAAACACCGAAAACGCGCAAAACACUCCCUACAACCCCCACCCCCUGCACUCACCGUCCCCUCCCCUCCCCCUUUUUCGUUUCACCUCUGCGACCCUCUGUCUCUCUCUCUGUUUCUAUCGUUUCUCCGUUUUAUUAUUUCGAUGUGCUUUUUUUUUGGUUUGGUGCUGCGUUUUCUUCGUUCUUCUUUCUCACGCCGUUCGGGUGGUAGCCGUGACUCUCCUCUGCCGCACGUGGUGGUCGCUUCCUCUUUCGCUUCUUUUUUGUGACCACCGAGAAACUACCCUGGUCUUUUUCCUGCCCUUUCUUUGCGGCUUUAGCGAGCCUGAGUCACGUGUGUGCUGCUGUGGAUGCUGCUGUGGAUGCUACUGUGUGCACGACGGAGGGAAUGCAUUCACUCAUCGCCCAGCGAUGAGGCCUAACUCCAAACUUGCAACGCAAGCACACACACACACACAGUGAGAGAGAUGCCCCUCUGAUGAUUCCUCUUUGUUUCUCUUUCGACGCCCUUCUUUUGUUGUUGUUCGCGCCUUCAUCUCUCCAUCUGUGAUUUUCUGCGUGCCGUCCACCCUACCCACCACUCUUUCUCAUAUUCAUGCUUCGCGUGUUCUUUUCCGUCCCCCUAGUUAGCGCGUUUGUAUGCCGAUGGUGUGCCGGUCUCUCGGUCAUACCGUCCAUGCAUUGCUUGCCUCUCCGUUCGUUUCUGUCUGCCCUCGUGCCGCACACCCGAUCUGUUUUCUCUGUGCGGAAGAAGCCUCUCGGUUAGACAACAAAGAUCUCACCUCACCAGCACUUGUUGUGCCGAGAGAGGGGAAUCGAAUGGAAUCGGUAGGGGUCGAGCUAUAAUGCACAGCUAUCUAGCGCAGCUGACGAGUGCAUAUGAUUAUCAGUGGAGGGAGACGGAGGGUCUAUCUUCUGCUCGGCAUCCCAGCUUUUACUCCCCCCCCCCUCUUUUCAUUGGCACCCAUCUUUCGUUUCACAUUUUUCACGAUUUAUUUACGCGAGUCUUUUUCUUCUUUUUUCUCCCUUCUGCGCCUCCAUCUCACGAGGUGUGUUGUAUGAGCAGCAAGUUUGCUCUGAGGCCCUACAUCACUCUCUCCCCUCCACCCCGUAUCUCUCCUCAACUGUCUCGAGCUCUGUCCACACUAUGUCUCUUGCAUCACGUUCACAGGGUCCCAUCCUCUAUGUACUGCGAGUGGGGGGGGCGCUGUGCGCAUGUAUGAUUGUGAAGAAGGUGGUCGUUUACUGUGACGUAAUGCAUGCGCGGGUGUCAGUGACCGCCUGCGUGUAUGUAAAUGUACGCGAUUGGUUCGUGCACAAAUGUAGGCUGAACCGCCAGACUCGCCUCGCCCGCACAUUGUGAGAUCAGCAUGGCACAUUACUUUCAGACAGCGGAUCCACAAGAGCAUCGUUCAAACGUUUGUAUUCUUGCUUACAGUGGCCUUGCACUGUACACGAUCCAUGUACGCACGUACCAGCAGCAGCUCGCAUAUGGCCAAAUGGGAACCAGAGCACACAACCAUGGCCGCCGAUGCGCGCAGUCUCAGUUCAACUCUAACUUAUUGGGUCGUGGUGAGGACCUUUUUUCGUAUACCCAAGCCGCCGCCCGACACACACGCCCUCCCUACGCUGCUAUCAGCAGAACCGCGGCUGGCCGAUGAUGAAAAAAAAAAUGGACUGUUCUUUUAGCUGUACACGGGCAGCCGUCUCUCAGAGGGCAACUCCUACGGGAGAUUACUUUCUAACGCGCGUUCUUGGUAUUUGUGCCCUUCUGACGCUCUCUCUAUCUAACCCUCGUGAUAUGCUCGUGCGUGCACAUCUCAUUGAAAGUAAUCGACGACGAUGAUUCUGCCUCCUUGGUACAUUCUAUGUAUUUUUUUUUUCGUUUUGUGUUCCAAUACUGGCUUGGCCGGCGAGGAUGCUCGGUUUUGUUUCUUCAUUCGCCUUUUCGCCACACUGACGCGCCUCGCAUGGCGCCCACCCUUUUUCUCCUUUCUUUGAG
rnacentral:misc_RNA from 1 species